rnacentral:rRNA from 1 species
UAGGUGCUGACGAGUGGCGGACGGGUGAGUAACGCGUAGGAAUCUACCUUGUAGUGGGGGAUAACUUGGGGAAACCCAAGCUAAUACCGCAUGAGCCCUAAGGGGGAAAGCAGGGGACUGUAACAGGCCCUGUGCUAUGAGAUGAGCCUGCGUCGGAUUAGCUAGUUGGUGGGGUAAAGGCCUACCAAGGCGACGAUCCGUAGCUGGUCUGAGAGGACGACCAGCCACACUGGGACUGAGACACGGCCCAGACUCCUACGGGAGGCAGCAGUGGGGAAUAUUGGACAAUGGGCGCAAGCCUGAUCCAGCAAUGCCGCGUGUGUGAAGAAGGCCUGCGGGUUGUAAAGCACUUUCGGUGGGGAGGAAGGCUUCAGUGCUAAUAGUACUGAGGAUUGACGUUACCCACAGAAGAAGCACC